UAGUCCGCACAGUAAACGAUGCGCACUAGGCGUCGGGGGCAACCCCGGUGCCGCAGCAAACGCGUUAAGUGCGCCGCCUGGGGAGUAUGCCCGCAAGGGUGAAACUCAAAGGAAUUGACGGGGGCCCGCACAAGCGGUGGAGCAUGUGGUUUAAUUCGAUGAUACGCGAGGAACCUUACCAGGGCUUGACAUGCAGAGGAGCAUCCCGGAGACGGGAUGGCCCUUCGGGGCCUCUGCAC
rnacentral:rRNA from 1 species